UGUUCCAAUGGAAAGCAGCGGAACGUCACCCUUGGCAGCUGUUCAUGAAGAACCGGUGGCGACAUGUCCCUGUGACGUUCCAUUGGAGGGAAGCAGAGCGUCGCAUCCCACAGCAGCUUCUGAAAAGCCGAUGGCGGAACCAAGCCCCAGGGAUGUUCG